ensembl:lncRNA
GGACCAUUACCCUGACCAUUACCAUUACCCUGCCCUGACCCUGACCAUGACCCGGACCCUGACCCGGACCAUUACCCUGACCAUUACCAUUACCCUGCCCUGACCCUGACCAUGACCCGGACCCUGACCCGGACCAUGACCCUGACCCUGACCCUGCUCGCCAAUCUGAUGAAAAGGAAAGCAUGUCAGGUGAAACAGGAACUGGUGGAUAGAUGUACGAGGGAGGGCUAAAAAAAAAGGUGCCAUUUCGAACCCUUUGAAGAACCCUUUUUAGUUCCAGGUAGAACCCUUUUGGUUCCAUGUAGAACCUUUUUUAGUUCCAGGUAGAAACCUUUUGGUUCCAGGUAGAACCCUUUUGGUUCCAUGUAGAACCUUUUUUAGUUCCAGGUAGAACCCUUUUGGUUCCAUGUAGAACCUUUUUUAGUUCCAGGUAGAACCCUUUUGGUUCCAUGUAGAACCCUUUCCACAGUGGAUUUUACAUGGAACUCAAAAGGGGUUCUACCUGGAACCCCCCAAAAUAUCCUCCCACUGCCUUUUUUCUAAGAGUGUAGAGAGUGUGGUGUCACUUACACAACCAUUGUGUGGUGUCUCCUCUAAGGUUAUGUUAACGUUUUUUGU